GACGAACGCUGGCGGCGUGCUUAACACAUGCAAGUCGAACGGAAAGGCCCUGCUUUUGUGGGGUGCUCGAGUGGCGAACGGGUGAGUAACACGUGAGUAACCUGCCCUUGACUUUGGGAUAACUUCAGGAAACUGGGGCUAAUACCGGAUAGGAGCUCCUGCUGCAUGGUGGGGGUUGGAAAGUUUCGGCUGUUGGGGAUGGACUCGCGGCUUAUCAGCUUGUUGGUGGGGUAGUGGCUUACCAAGGCUUUGACGGGUACCCGGCCUGAGAGGGUGACCGGCCACAUUGGGACUGAGAUACGGCCCAGACUCCUACGGGAGGCAGCAGUGGGGAAUAUUGCACAAUGGGCGGAAGCCUGAUGCAGCAACGCCGCGUGCGGGAUGACGGCCUUCGGGUUGUAAACCGCUUUCGCCUGUGACGAAGCGUGAGUGACGGUAAUGGGUAAAGAAGCACCGGCUAACUACGUG
rnacentral:rRNA from 1 species